rnacentral:sRNA from 11 species
GUCAGUAACUCAGCCCUAAAGGGACUGAGCUUGUAAUUUAUUACAAGCUGUACUGACCAGUCUAAGUCUUCACUGACUACGUUUUUUGAGUCACGACACCCUGGAAUGCGAAGCUAGUUCCCUGCUCUGUC